CAUGGCAUCGAUUUAGCCAUGCUAGUUGUACGAGUUUAGACUCGUAGCAGAUAGCUCAGUAACACGUGGCCAAACUACCCUAUGGAUCCGGACAACCUCGGGAAACUGAGGCUAAUCCGGAAUACGGCUCUCAGCCUGGAAGUGGCGAGAGUCAGAAACGCCCCGGCGCCAUAGGAUGUGGCUGCGGCCGAUUAGGUAGACGGUGGGGUAACGGCCCACCGUGCCCAUAAUCGGUACGGGUUGUGAGAGCAAGAGCCCGGAGACGGUAUCUGAGACAAGAUACCGGGCCCUACGGGGCGCAGCAGGCGCGAAACCUUUACACUGCACGACAGUGCGAUAAGGGGACUCCAAGUGCGAGGGCAUAUAGUCCUCGCUUUUCACCACCGUAAGGAGGUGGUAGAAUAAGUGCUGGGCAAGACCGGUGCCAGCCGCCGCGGUAAUACCGGCAGCACGAGUGAUGACCGCUCUUAUUGGGCCUAAAGCGUCCGUAGCUGGCCACGCAAGUCUAUCGGGAAAUCCGCGCGCUCAACGCGCGGGCGUCCGGUGGAAACUGCGUGGCUUGGGACCGGAAGACCAAAAGGGUACGUCUGGGGUAGGAGUGAAAUCCCGUAAUCCUGGACGGACCACCGGUGGCGAAAGCGCUUCUGGAAGACGGAUCCGACGGUGAGGGACGAAAGCUCGGGUCACGAACCGGAUUAGA
rnacentral:rRNA from 1 species